UACGGAAGGGGCUAGCGUUGCUCGGAAUCACUGGCGUAAAGGCGCACGUAGGCGGAUCGUUAAGUCAGGGUGAAUCCUGGAGCUCAACUCCAGAACUGCCUUUGAUACUGGCGAUCUUGAGUCCGGGAGAGGUGAGUGGAACUGCGAGUGUAGAGGUGAAAUUCGUAGAUAUUCGCAAGAACACCAGUGGCGAAGGCGGCUCACUGGCCCGGUACUGACGCUGAGGUGCGAAAGCGUGGGGAGCAAACAGG
rnacentral:rRNA from 1 species